CCUACGGGUGGCAGCAGUGGGGGAUAUUGCACAAUGGGGGAAACCCUGAUGCAGCGACGCCGCGUGGGGGAAGAAGUAUUUCGGUUCGUAAAGCUCUAUCAGCAGGGAAGAAAAUGACGGUAUCUAACGAAUAAGCACCGGCUAACUCCGUGCCAGAAGCCGCGGUAAUACGGAGGGUGAAGGCGUUAUCCGGAUUUACUGGGUGUAAAGUGAGCGACGACGGCAGGGCAAGUCGGAAGUGAAUUCCAAUGGCUUAACCAUGGAACUGAUUUGGAACCUGUGAAGCUAGAGUGUAGGAGAGGUAGGUGGAAUUCUUGGUGUAGCGGUGAAAUGCGUAGAGAUCAGGAGGAAUACUCGUGGCGAAGGCGGCCUACUGGACUAUAACUGACGUUGAGGCGCGAAAGCGUGGGGAGCAAACAGGAUUAGAUACCCUAGUAGUC
rnacentral:rRNA from 1 species